ACAAUACUCCCUCCAUUCGGAAGUACUUGUCACAUAAAUGGUUGUAUCUAGAUAUAUUUUAGUUUUAGAUACAUCUAUUCUUAUACAUUUGUGUGACAAGUAAUUCCGAAAAGAGGGAGUAUAUG
rfam:Hordeum vulgare subsp. vulgare, WGS project CAJW01000000 data, contig: morex_contig_59273